rnacentral:rRNA from 1 species
GAUGAACGCUAGCUACAGGCUUAACACAUGCAAGUCGAGGGGAAACGAUAGAGAAAGCUUGCUUUUUCUAGGCGUCGACCGGCGCACGGGUGAGUAACGCGUAUCCAACCUGCCCAUCACUUGGGGAUAACCUUGCGAAAGUAAGACUAAUACCCAAUGACGUCCCAAGAAGACAUCUGAAGGAGAUUAAAGAUUUAUCGGUGAUGGAUGGGGAUGCGUCUGAUUAGCUUGUUGGCGGGGUAACGGCCCACCAAGGCGACGAUCAGUAGGGGUUCUGAGAGGAAGGUCCCCCACAUUGGAACUGAGACACGGUCCAAACUCCUACGGGAGGCAGCAGUGAGGAAUAUUGGUCAAUGGACGAGAGUCUGAACCAGCCAAGUAGCGUGCAGGAUGACGGCCCUAUGGGUUGUAAACUGCUUUUAUAAGGGAAUAAAGUGGGAGUCGUGACUCCUUUUGCAUGUACCUUAUGAAUAAGGACCGGCUAAUUCCGUGCCAGCCGCCGCAGUAA